AUUGAACGCUGGCGGCAGGCCUAACACAUGCAAGUCGAGCGGAUGAAGGGAGCUUGCUCCUGGAUUCAGCGGCGGACGGGUGAGUAAUGCCUAGGAAUCUGCCUGGUAGUGGGGGAUAACGUCCGGAAACGGGCGCUAAUACCGCAUACGUCCCGAGGGAGAAAGUGGGGGAUCUUCGGACCUCACGCUAUCAGAUGAGCCUAGGUCGGAUUAGCUAGUUGGUGGGGUAAAGGCCUACCAAGGCGACGAUCCGUAACUGGUCUGAGAGGAUGAUCAGUCACACUGGAACUGAGACACGGUCCAGACUCCUACGGGAGGCAGCAGUGGGGAAUAUUGGACAAUGGGCGAAAGCCUGAUCCAGCCAUGCCGCGUGUGUGUAGAAGGUCUUCGGAUUGUAAAGCACUUUAAGUUGGGAGGAAGGGCAGUAAGUUAAUACCUUGCUGUUUUGACGUUACCAACAGAAUAAGCACCGGCUAACUUCGUG
rnacentral:rRNA from 1 species